rnacentral:rRNA from 1 species
CAGGAGGCAUUCACAUGUUAUAUAUGUAACCAAUCUGAUGCAAUAAGGAUACACUUGAUUCAUUUACAUCUCUUUCGAUUCUCUCUCUCGAUUUCUACUUCAACAUGUUAUCAGCACUUGCCUACCAGAGUAGAGCAAAAGAAAACAGAGAAAGUGAGAAGGAAAGGAGGACUCGCCGCCGGUGAGAUGCCAGGCCUCGUCUCCUUUUUCCUUCGCCUCAUCCGUGAGGACGGUCACGGCUACCGCCUCACCACUCGUCGCCGCCAUGGAGUGGGUGGACUCCGGCGUUUCCGUUGCCGGAUGCAGGCCAUCCGCCGCUUCGACCGGAUGUCGUUGGACGCGGCCACGAUGGCGUUGGGAGGGGCGCGCGUGGAGGUCACCACGCCUUUGGACGCGGCCGCCGCGCCGCCGGAUGCGCUCACCGCGGUGCUCCUCGUGCCCGUGGCCAUACGCCGGUGGGGUUUGACCCCUGGCUGGUGGCCGGCCCAAGCGCUCCUGCAACGCAUGGUGCCGCAGUCGCGCCUGCUCCGCCCCCCGGGUCUCCGCCUCCACCCCCUCCACCUCCGGUGGCCUGGCUCGCGCCGUGACCGACAGCGCCAGGCCGUGGCCGCCCGUGGCUGGCAGCGCCAGGUCGUCACAUGGUCGUGCCAGCCCGUCCGCUUCGCCCAGCCACCGCUCGCGACAUGGCCUCGCCACCUGCGCUCACGCGUGGCCGUGGACGCACUCCCCAUUCUCCGCCGCAGGGACCCCAUGGGGGCGCUAUCGUCGUCGUCUCCUCUUGGGAAGGAGACCUCGUCGGUGCUGUGCCGGUGAUCCCCGGAGAUGCAAGGGCAGGCAGUGGCGGCCACUCCUCCCGACGGCUGCGCUGGGUGGGUGUGGGGAUCGGGGUGUGGGGAGGUCUCUGACCUUAUCCAGUAACCGCUCCAUCCCCUCCCUCCACUUAUGCGGUGGUUGCUGGACUGGGCCAGCCAAAGGCCGUGGUGGCCCAGGCCUAGGCGCUCUCGGCUGUGGACCGGCCCGAGCAGGAUUUUUCUUCUUCUUUUUCUCUCAGUUUUAUUAAUAUUAAUACUAUUUAUUAGUAUUCGCAUGUUUUAGCCUGUUAAUUACAUUAUUUGUCUUGAAUUCCGAUUUCUGUAGAGUACCUUGUAUUCCAGUAUGUGCUAUAAUAUAUUUCCAUGUUAAACACAGG